rnacentral:rRNA from 1 species
AUUGAACGCUGGCGGCGUGCUUAACACAUGCAAGUCGAGCGGUAACAGGUGUAGCAAUACAUGCUGACGAGCGGCGAACGGGUGAGUAAUGCUUCGGAAUCUUCCUCGUAGUGGGGAAUAACCUGGGGAAACUCAGGCUAAUACCGCAUACGAACUACGGUUGAAAGCAGGGGAUCGCAAGACCUUGCGCUAUGAGAUGAGCCGAAGUCGGAUUAGCUAGUUGGUGAGGUAAAGGCUCACCAAGGCGACGAUCCGUAGCUGGUCUGAGAGGACGACCAGCCACACUGGGACUGAGGCACGGCCCAGACUCCUACGGGAGGCAGCAGUGGGGAAUAUUGGACAAUGGGGGCAACCCUGAUCCAGCGACGCCGCGUGUGUGAAGAAGGCCUGCGGGUUGUAAAGCACUUUUAGUGGGGAUGAAAAGCCAAGGGUUAAUACCCUUUGGUCUUGACCUAACCCAAAGAAAAAGCACCGGCUAACUCUGUGCCAGCAGCCGCAGUAA